CCUACGGGCGGCUGCAGUGGGGAAUAUUGGACAAUGGGGGCAACCCUGAUCCAGCCAUGCCGCGUGUGUGAAGAAGGCCCUCGGGUUGUAAAGCACUUUCAGUGAGGAAGAACGCCUGGUGGUUAAUACCCAUCAGGAAAGACAUCACUCACAGAAGAAGCACCGGCUAACUCCGUGCCAGCAGCCGCGGUAAUACGGAGGGUGCGGGCGUUAAUCGGAAUUACUGGGCGUAAAGCGCGCGUAGGUGGCUUGAUAAGCCGGUUGUGAAAGCCCCGGGCUCAACCUGGGAACGGCAUCCGGAACUGUCAAGCUAGAGUGCAGGAGAGGAAGGUAGAAUUCCCGGUGUAGCGGUGAAAUGCGUAGAGAUCGGGAGGAAUACCAGUGGCGAAGGCGGCCUUCUGGACUGACACUGACACUGAGGUGCGAAAGCGUGGGUAGCAAACAGGAUUAGAUACCCCAGUAGUC
rnacentral:rRNA from 1 species